CCAAGGAGUCUAGCAUGUGCGCGAGUCAUUGGGUUUCGCUAAACCUAAAAGCGAAAUGAAAGUGAAGGCAGCCUCGGGUUUGCCCAGGUAGGAUCCCGGUCGCCUCGGCCUGGCGCACUACCGGCCCGUCGCGUCCGCUCUGCGGUGCGGCGGAGCAAGAGCGUACACGCUGGGACCCGAAAGAUGGUGAACUAUGCCUGAGUAGGACGAAGCCAGAGGAAACUCUGGUGGAAGUCCGUAGCGGUUCUGACGUGCAAAUCGAUCGUCGAACUUGGGUAUAGGGGCGAAAGACUAAUCGAACCAUCUA
rnacentral:rRNA from 1 species